UAAUACAGAGGGUGCAAGCGUUGUUCGGAAUUACUGGGCGUAAAGCGCGUGUAGGCUGCAACGUAAGUUGGACGUGAAAGCCCUUGGCUUAACCAAGGAAGUGCAUCCAAUACUGCGUCGCUUGAGUGUCGGAGGGGGCGGCGGAAUUCCCGGUGUAGAGGUGAAAUUCGUAGAUAUCGGGAGGAACACCUGUGGCGAAGGCGGCCGCCUGGACGAUAACUGACGCUGAGACGCGAAAGCGUGGGUAGCAAACAGGAUUAGAUACCCUGGUAGUCCACGCUGUAAACGAUGAGUGCUAGUCGUCAUGGGUAUUGACCCCUGUGGUGACGAAGUUAACACGUUAAGCACUCCGCCUGGGGAGUACGGUCGCAAGAUUA
rnacentral:rRNA from 1 species